rnacentral:sRNA from 1 species
UCAUGGAAAAAUGUGGCAGAUCGAAUUUUGGGAACUAUGGUGCUUCGAUUCGGCUGCAGCCGAAUCUAUUAAUUUAAGUUUGAAUGAGAAUUUCUUAACGCUUUUUUCGAAUUCCAAAAAUGUAUAAUUUCCAACUGUGAGGCAUUGUACAUACAAUUUGGCAGCACGUAAUUUCUCGAUAGUGCUUUCUUUUAACCCAAUCAUCGUAUCAUUCAUCGUCAUUUCGGAAUCUAGCCUGUGGUUUCAUUCCGAUUGAAAUUCGGCCAGUUGGAGCUGGAAAAUUUUGCGUAAAGCUCUAAAAAAAAUUACACAAAAUGUGAAUAAUUUGUAAUUUUAAUCCAAUGGUUCAAUGGCAAGGCGGAUGAGAUUUUAAUUGACUGCGCCUAGCACAGCUCUCGAUCGGAAUCAUCGAUGGUCAAUCAUCAGAGUAUAUCCGGUUUUGGCAAAGUUCCCCUGCAAAAGAUAAAAGUAGCUGAAUUUAUAGGCACACAGGCGUAAAG